rnacentral:pre_miRNA from 1 species
GUUUUACAUGGAGUUCCCUUGAGCACUUCAAUAUGCAUAUAUAUGCCUUCAACUUAUGAGAAAGGGCAUUAUUGCUAGCUUAGUGAAGUGCUUGGGGGAACUCUAUGGACUAC